rnacentral:rRNA from 2 species
GGACUACAGGGGUUUCUAAUCCUGUUUGCUCCCCUAGCUUUCGUGCCUCAGUGUCAGGAGUCGUCCAGGGACUCGCCUUCGCCACUGGUGUUCCUCUCGAUAUCUACGCAUUUCACUGCUACACCGAGAAUUCCAGUCCCCCCUCCGACCCUCCAGCCAGAUAGUAUCCAAUGCAGUUUCGAAGUUAAGCUUCGAGAUUUCACAUCAGACUUACCUGGCCACCUGCGCACCCUUUACGCCCAGUGAAUCCGAACAACGCUUGGGACCUCUGUAUUACCGCGGCUGCUGGCAC